AACGUACGCUGGCGGCACGCCUAACACAUGCAAGUCGAGCGAGGUAGCAAUACCUAGCGGCAGACGGGUGCGUAACAUGUGGGAAUCUGCCUUUUGGUUCGGAACAACACGGGGAAACCUGUGCUAAUACCGGAUAAGUCCUUACGGAGAAAGUUUUAAUGCCAAAAGAUGAGCCCGCAUUUGAUUAGCUAGUUGGUGGGGUAAAGGCUCACCAAGGCGAUAAUCAAUAGCUGAUUUGAGAGGAUGAUCAGCCACACUGGGACUGAGAUACGGCCCAGACUCCUACGGGAGGCAGCAGUGGGGAAUCUUGCACAAUGGGCGAAAGCCUGAUGCAGCGAUGCCGCGUGAGUGAAGAAGGCCUUUGGGUUGUAAAGCUCUUUUGUCGGGAAAGAUAAUGACUGUACCCGAAGAAUAAGGUCCGGCUAACUUCGUGCCAGCAGCCGCGGUAAUACGAAAGGACCUAGCGUAGUUCGGAAUUACUGGGCGUAAAGAGUAUGUAGGCGGCUAGAUAAGUUAAUUGUGAAAGCCCAAAGCUUAACUUUGGAAUUGCAAUUAAAACUAUUUAGCUGGAGUAUGAUAGAGGAAAGCGGAAUACAUAGUGUAGAGGUGAAAUUCGUAGAUAUUAUGUAGAACACCAGUUGCGAAGGCGGCUUUCUGGAUCAUUACUGACGCUGAGAUACGAAAGUAUGGGUAGCGAAGAGGAUUAGAUACCCUCGUAGUCCAUACCAUAAACGAUGAUUAUUAGAUGUGGGGAAUUAUUUCUCUGUAUCAUAGCUAACGCGUUAAAUAAUCCGCCUGGGGAGUACGACCGCAAGGUUAAAACUCAAAUGAAUUGACGGGGACCCGCACAAGCGGUGGAGCAUGUGGUUUAAUUCGAAGCAACGCGCAGAACCUUACCAACCCUUGACAUGUUCGUCGCGAGACUAAGAAAUUAGUCUCU
rnacentral:rRNA from 1 species